rnacentral:rRNA from 1 species
GAUGAAGAACGUAGCGAAAUGCGAUACGUAGUGUGAAUUGCAGAAUUCCGCGAAUCAUCGAGUCUUUGAACGCAAGUUGCGCCCGAGGCUUGUCCAAGGGCAUUUCCGCUAGAGCGUCACCGCGCCCCCCCACCGAUCCGCUCCCGCCGGGAGUCGGGUCGAGUGAAAAUGGCCAUCCCCGUGGGGGCCUCCUCCCGCGAGGAAGGAAGGUCUUCCCGAGGGUUGGCUGAAAUGGAUGGAAUCGGGCCGCCGUGGCGACACAGUCCGCGAUCGGGUGAUCCGGGCUCCCCCGGGAGUCCGGAGUUUUUCUAAGUGCGUGGCUGCGUCUCCCAGUCGGUUCGUGGUUCCCUCGUGCAGGUCGGACCUCGUCACGCAUCAGACCUCUAAU